rnacentral:rRNA from 1 species
AUACCAAGGCGCUUGAGAGAACUCUGGUGAAGGAACUAGGCAAAAUAGCACCGUAACUUCGGGAGAAGGUGCGCUGCUGACGGUGAAGGCCUUGCGCCGUAAGCUGUUGGCAGCCGAAGUAACCAGGCCGCUGCGACUGUUUAUUAAAAACACAGCACUCUGCAAACACGAAAGUGGACGUAUAGGGUGUGACGCCUGCCCGGUGCCGGAAGGUUAAUUGAUGGGGUCAGCCGCAAGGCGAAGCUCUUGAUCGAAGCCCCGGUAAACGGCGGCCGUAACAAUAACGGUCCUAAGGUAGCGAAAUUCCUUGUCGGGUAAGUUCCGACCUGCACGAAUGGCGUAACGAUGGCGGCGCUGUCUCCACCAGAGACUCAGUGAAAUCGAAAUCGCGGUGAAGAUGCCGUGUACCCGUGGCUAGACGGAAAGACCCCGUGAACCUUUACUGUAGCUUCACACUGGACUUUGACAUGAUCUGUGUAGGAUAGCUGGGAGGCUUUGAAGUGGUGACGCCAGUUGCCAUGGAGCCGUCCUUGAAAUACCAGCCUGGUCCUGUCGGGGUUCUAACGUCGACCUGUUAUCCAGGUUACGGACAGUGUGUGGUGGGCAGUUUGACUGGGGCGGUCUCCUCCCAAAGAGUAACGGAGGAGCACGAAGGUGCGCUAAUCACGGUCGGAAAUCGUGAGGUUAGUGUAAAGGCACAAGCGCGCUUGACUGCGAGACAGACAAGUCGAGCAGGUACGAAAGUAGGUCUUAGUGAUCCGGUGGUUCUGUAUGGAAGGGCCAUCGCUCAACGGAUAAAAGGUACUCCGGGGAUAACAGGCUGAUACCGCCCAAGAGUUCAUAUCGACGGCGGUGUUUGGCACCUCGAUGUCGGCUCAUCACAUCCUGGGGCUGAAGCCGGUCCCAAGGGUAUGGCUGUUCGCCAUUUAAAGUGGUACGCGAGCUGGGUUUAGAACGUCGUGAGACAGUUCGGUCCCUAUCUGCCAUGGGCGUUGGAGAUUUGAGAAGAGUUGCUCCUAGUACGAGAGGACCGGAGUGAACGAACCUCUGGUGUACCGGUUGUCACGCCAGUGGCAUUGCCGGGUAGCUAAGUUCGGACGGGAUAACCGCUGAAAGCAUCUAAGCGGGAAGCCUCCUUCAAGAUGAGAUCUCCCUGGAGCUUUAAGCUCCCUAAAGGGCCGUCGAAGACUACGACGUUGAUAGGCGAGGUGUGGAAGCGUUGUGAGACGUUGAGCUGACUCGUACUAAUUGCCCGUGCGGCUUGACCUA